rnacentral:rRNA from 1 species
AGCGAACGCUGGCGGCAGGCCUAACACAUGCAAGUCGAGCGCCGUAGCAAUACGGAGCGGCAGACGGGAGAGUAACACGUGGGAACGUACCCUUCAGUACGGAACAACCAAGGGAAACUUUGGCUAAUACCGUAUACGUCCGUAAGGAGAAAGAUUUAUCGCUGAAGGAUCGGCCCGCGUCUGAUUAGCUUGUUGGUGAGGUAACGGCUCACCAAGGCGACGAUCAGUAGCUGGUCUGAGAGGAUGAUCAGCCUCACUGGGACUGAGACACGGCCCAGACUCCUACGGGAGGCAGCAGUGGGGAAUAUUGCUCAAUGGGCGAAAGCCUGAAGCAGCAACGCCGCGUGUGUGAUGAAGGCCUUCGGGUCGUAAAGCACUUUUCUGGGAGAUGAGAAAGGACAGUAUCCCAGGAAUAAGUCUCGGCUAACUACGUGCCAGCCGCCGCCGUAAUAC